UGAUCUCAUUUUUUAUGGAUUGAGCAGAGCACGCUGAGAUUCCAAUCGUCUUCCGACCAUAUUUUGCAAAGAAGCUGAUCCAUGCACCUUAUCUGUUCUUCGCCGCCGUAUUUUAAAGCUACAUAGAUAGCAGUUAGUAAUAAGCAGUGGUACUUUGUUUUCGAAUACUUUAGAUGACUUUGCGAGACUAUUAACAAAAAAUAAAAUUUGAUUUUCUAUGAAAUUUAAAGCAAAAUAAAAUUCUACAAACAGCGCAUUCUUAAUUCUAUUGAAAGAGAAAAUCAGUUAAAUUGCAAAAUUCAAACACUCACAAAGGAAAAGGACACGCAAAUAAAUAUAUUUACAACGAAGAAUGAAUUAAUUAACAACAAAUAUUUACGAACUCUUCUCAAAGUCACUGCAAACAGUCAGACAGUUUCAGUACAAAUAUGUGAGUGCAAACGCCAGUGAGAACGUACAUAAAUUGUUUGAAAAAAAGCAGAGUAAAGCUAAAAGCAAAAUCAAGCCAUGGUAUGCCUGACAAAGUACUGGCAUAUUUAGCAUGAAGAAAUGUUGAAAUGCAAAAUAGAAACUGUAGAGUAAACACUAGGAAAUCGGAAUUUUAAGUGAAAUUGUCCAGCAAAUGGUUGGUGACAAGGAAUUCAUUCGCAUGUGUUGAAGCUGUGGGAGCGGUACGACGCCAUUAGGUUAUGGCAAAUAGUGGGUGAAAGGGCGCUUGUUGAGCAUGUGGUGUCCGCGUUGGCGCUAAAAAGUAUGCAAUAAAAAUUUGCAAAAGAUUUGUAGAAAGAAAUUGAAACUAAGAAGGUAAAAUUGUGGGUCGGACCUUAUUAGAAUAAUAUCUGAAGCUGUAAAUAUAAGGGUACUUCAUAUUUUUAUAAUAUGAAUUUAUUUUUGACUUCACGUAUUAUGUUCAUGUUCGGUUAUCAUUACGCAGAAACCGAUUGUGAACGGAUUCAAAAUCACACUUCAAGAUGAGAAAUGAAACCACAACCAUAUGAUCUUCGUCGAAUGUUUGCGACCAAUCAAUUUCUCUGGGUCCCGAAACAGGUCCUUUCGUAUGUAUGUAUACUCUUUCAAAAACCCAAGGGGUAUCGAAGGGAAGAUCUAUAAUAAUAUAAGCAAAUCUCGACGAGAUUCAAAUAUAAGAGCUUUGGAUAGGACUCUUAACCGAUUCGGUUCCUUGUGGAUGAUGACGGAGAUGGUUUUAAAGUAUUCGCUGGAAAAAAAUUAAACGUCUUUAGGAUCCACUGGCCCAAGUCCGGCUAAAUGUAGGCUAAAGUUAUGGUUUUUAGGGUUCAAGUUCCGUAAAGAAUGAUGAAGUCACUCUUCCUUUUAUUUCUACCCACGAUAUCGUAUUUGCCGCUUCAUCCGCUUCUUUUUUCUUGGAAACAAUCUCACUAUAAUUUUACAAUAUCCUUAAAUUUGAAUGUGUUGGUGAGAGAGAGGUUUCGUGCUUUCCACGGAAAAUGAUGCAAAUUUAUGCGUGAAACAUGUCGCAUGUCAACAUAGUGUCACAUUCUUUAGGCAAAUAGAAAAUGCGAAAUUUUACAUGUAAACUAAUACUCAGAUAUAUUCUAUGUAUAUGUAUCUGCCUGUGUGAAAAAAAAUGUCGCGUUGGAGUAACACAAAAAUUUGCAAAUCUUUUUUGCGGGCACUCGUAAUAGAUACGGGUAAAGUCAAGGCGGAAGGAACGAGAAUUGAAUAAGUAAUAGUUGUAUACCAAUACUACCAUAAUCAUGAUCACACAUAUACACUUUCAAGUAUUCUGACGUGGGUACAUAUGUGACUUACAAUUCUUGCAAGGCUUCCACAACUUCGCUCAUUCUUCGUACAAACAGUUAAAAGCAAAUACUGUAAACUAUACGGAAUGCAUAUUCAUACUCAGGCACUGUUACCUAUGGCAAAUAGGGUAGUUCAUGAAAGAUUUUCUUUGAGAAAACCACGACUUCUUUUUGUCAACGAACUGGUUGGACCUUAUCAGUGUGGCUUUAGACCUGGAAAAUCGACAAUGGACCAGAUAUUCACCAUGCGCCAAAUCUGGGAAAAGACCCGAGAGAGAAGAAUCGAUAUUCACCAUCUUUUUAUCGAUUUUAAAGCUGCCUUCGAUAGCACGAAAAGCUGCCUUUAUGCCGCGAUGUCUGAAUUUGGUAUCCCCGCAAAACUAAUACGGCUGUGUAAGCUAACGUGGAGGAUGAGGACAAGACGAAAUAUCUCCUGUCAUCAAACAACCGGUCAGCGCACUCGCGUCUUGGCUCCCACGUCACUGUUGGCAGUCAUGCCUUUGAAGUUGUAGAUAGUUUCGUCUACUUGGGAACCAGCGUUAACAACACCAACAAUGUCAGCCUUGAAAUCCAACGCAGAAUCACUCUUGCCAACAGGUGUUACUUUGGACUGACUAGGCAAUUGCAAAGUAAAGUCCUCUCUCGACGAACAAAAAUCAAACUCUACAAGUCGCACAUUAUUCCCGUCCUGAUAUAUGGCGCCGAAGCGUGGACGAUGACAACAUCCGAUGAGACGACUUUUGGGGUUUUCGAGAGAAAGGUUUUGCUUAAGAUUUAUGGUCCUUUGAACGUUGGCAACGGCGAAUACCGCAGACGAUGGAACGAUGAGCUGUACGAUUUAUACGACGACAUUGACUCAGUUCAGCGAAUAAAAAGACAGCGGCUACGCUGGCUAGGUCAUGUUGUCCGAAUGGAUGAAAACACUCCAGCUCUGAAAGUGUUCGAUGCAGUACCCGCUGGAGGAAGCCACGGAAGAGGACGACCUCCACUCCGGUGGAAAGACCAAGUGCAAAUUGACCUGGCUUCACUUGGUGUUUCCAGUUGGCGCCAAAAAGCAAAAAGGAGGAACGAGUGGCGCGCUCUGGUGGAUUCGGCUAUAAUCGCUUAAAGCGGUUUCUACGCCAAAUAUAUAUAUAUAUAUAUCUAACUCGUUUUGUUUUAUGACUUGCAAACAACCGUUAUGUGAACAAAACUAUAAUACUCUCUUAGCAACUUUUGUUGCGAGAGUAUAAAAAAAAUUGGAAGCCAUUUGAUUGUCGAUUUAUUUAACAAACUAUAAAUGAGCAUCGGCCCGUCCCCUACGCACCACACUACUAAUUACCCGGACGCAUACCAUUCAACAAAGUCAAUACAUAUCACACACAUCAUUUAACACCAGUGGUCGGCACUGCUUGGCACAAUUGUGGCGAACUUACAUCACACGUAUGCUUACGCUCUGUCAUUCAGUCGUUGCCGAACCAGCAACGAAUGAACAUCCCGCAUGGCUGUGGCACUUUGAAUAAGUGCCCCGCCCGAAACCUUAAUGUUAUGUAUAAUAAUGUCGUUUGAUAUUAUGUAUUAUAUUAAUGGAUUUAGGUUGUUUAAAGACAGUAAAGAUAAGGCGUUUAUGAUCUAAUAUAUUUGUUUUAAUAGUAAAAUAACCAAAAUUAAUAAACAAGUCUGAAAAAUCAUGUUUUAUAAUAAAAUUGAAAACAUUUUCAAAAUGGAAGGUUACAGAGUGCUCACCUACACAGUCACAAUUCCUCUCGUGCCGACCACUGUUUAACACGCUCCAAUACGAAUCUGAUACUUCACCAUCACCAUACUGACCAUAGCAUCACCUACCAUCCACAUUAACACACACGCAUAAAUCUCUCACGAGAACUUCACACAUCAACACACACAAAAGCACACCAACUUGUGGACAUCACACUGAAAACUUUUUACACAAUAACUUUAACAAAAGGGAUCGACAAUUAGAAAAAAAAAUAGCUUUUUGCUAUAGAAUCGAAAUCAAGCAGCAUCAACGCAGACUUCAUCGUGUUUUUAAUACCUUUUUCGAUUUCAUAUAAUUUGCUAAAUAAUCCGUGCGUAAUCUGUAUCGAAAUUAUUGUAAAAAGCUAUUGUAAAUAAUAUCGGCAAAUACACGCGUCUACGGACAUAUUUUUAAAACGAAAAUAAAGGCAUUCC